UCCUGCGUCCGAAAGUGAUCAUGGGCUGCCAGUGCCUUGGUCAUUGAUAGCGCGGGGAGAGAAUUGCUGAAAGUGGUUGUCCCCGUGUUUGAAGGGCCCCGCUGUCCCUUCCAAACCCUGGAGCCUUCGCACA